rnacentral:misc_RNA from 1 species
GAUGUAUUUAACAGAUUGGUUGAAGAGGGAUACUUUAAUCUUUAGUUAUGUUUAAUUACUAAAUAGCUUAAUAACCUGUUAGCGAGCUUCUACUCUGCAUCGCCCAUGUGCCGAGAUUAGGGGCCCAACUUUAGUGGGAUACGCUGUCACAUUUCCGCCUGGGGUGUGCUGAAGAAGACAAUCAGGCUGACCUUAGCGAUAGCCGGUUACGGGGCGCUUGCUAAGGUGACAUCAAAACCGUGACUACACCCGUAGACACCUAUGUGGCGUUGCCUUCGGACAGGGGGUCGACUCCCCUCGCCUCCACCC